CUUCAAACAGAGUGGGACUAGCUAAAAUACGCGGGGUACGCAUAAUGAAUCUACGCAUCAUCGGCCUUGGUAAAAAGUACUCUCAGAGUCUACGAGCUCGCCAGACCCGAAACAAGCAAUGACAACGACGGAAGACGACGACGACGAGGGAUUCGGGGAAUUCACGUUCGCGCCAAUCACCGUCCAUUCAAAUCCCAAAACCAGCGGUUCCGAUCUUCAAGAUAAAAUUGAUGACGAUUGGGGCGAUUUUGUUGCACCCGGUUCGUUCUCCCGCUGCGAAACGCUCCCUGUAAAAUCACUGGAUCCGAUUCAUUUGUCCGUAGAUCGCCAAGCUGAUAGCUUGAUAAAUGAUGUGGCGCAGCCUGACUUGGUCCCGAGUCGGAAUCGGGUUCAGUGGGAGAAAACCAGGGGCACGUUGCCGUUAUCGUUGUUUGGAGAGGAAGAAAAGGAGGAUGAAUCAAGUGAGCCGGGUUUAUUAUUUAAUGGUGCAACCGAGUUGAAAAAAACCGAGAAAAAGGUGGGAUCGGAGUUAAAUAUGAGCGAUCUGAUUUCGAAUUUAUAUGCUGGGAGCGAGCCGAGCAAGGUGGUAAGUAGAACGGGUCUGAAUUUGGACUCAAAUGGAUUGGGUUUGAAAAGAAGUGCAUCGAAUUUGGAUUCAAACGGUUCGGGUUUAAAAUUGGAAAAUUGGGAUUCUUAUGGGUUGAAAUCAGAAUCAAAGGGGUUGGAUUUGAAGAGAAGUGUGUCGAAUUUUGAAAUAAACGGGUCGAGUUUAAAAUUGGAGGAUUGGGGUUCUUAUGGGUUCAAUUUGGAUUCAAAAGGGUCGGACUUGAAGGGAAGUGUGUCGAAUUUGGGUUUGAAUGGAAUGGAUUCGAAGAUUAAUUUGGAUUCAAAUGGAUUUAAUCCAGUUUUAGACGAGGAUGAUGAUGGGUGCGAAUUUAAGGCUGUAGAGACUAAAUUACCAAACGGAGAUUUUAAUUUUAAGGGCAACAACAAAGGGACUGGGAAUUCUGAGGGAGCUCAGCAGGCAUUUGUCUUUGAAAGUGGGGCACAGGUUCCUGCUGGUUUGUUUGCUUCAUCAAAUGGGAUGACUCUAAAAUCUGGUGAAUUGGACUUUGGUUUUGAUUUCAGCAAAAGUUCUCUGACAUCAGAUGGUAUUAAUAGUUCGUUCACAAACAGUGAGCAGAAGAAUGAUAGUGGGGCGCAGGUUCCUACCAAUUUAUUUGCUGCAUCAAAUGGCAUCUCUCAAAAAACUGGUCAAUUUGACUUUGGUUUUGAUUUCAGCAAAAGUUCUGUGGCACCAGAUGGUAUUUCCAGUUCAUUGUCAAAAAGCUAGCAGAAGAAUGAUAAUGAAAAUGGACUAGAUUCUACAUCUGUUAUUGGCAAUGUUGAGAAAGGAGAAACCUUAUUGGAAUUCAAGGAUGCUUUUUCAGAAACUGGAUCAAAUGAUACGGGAAAAGACACUAAGUCACAGAGCCAUAGGGGAGCCUUACCUCUGUCCAUUUUUGGGGAUAGUGAACUAGAGAAUGAUGA